rnacentral:lncRNA from 1 species
AGAUGUAUACAUUUAUUUUUCUUGAAUGCCUUACAUCCUUUGAGUUGACAAAAUUUCUCUUCCUGGAAAAAGAUAUUGUCCAAAAGUUGGGGUCCUCUUUCAUAGGCCUUUCCUCAGGCUGUGGCGCUUAGGAGCUGAGGAGACCUGCAUCUACCCGUGCUCUGGCCCACUUAAUGGAGAGGAGUGCAGGACGCAGGAACUCUGUUCUUUUGGCAAAGCUAAGAGGCAUUGGUUUUGACUUACUUUCAGUGGAUCCUCAUUAAUUAAAUCAUUCUUUCUAUGUCAAAUGACUCCACCGUAGAUUCUGAAAGCUUCUUUAAGAACCUUUGAUGCUAUUUUAAGAAUGAUUAUCAGUUGACGCUUGGGAUUUCUUAGCUUUUAAAGUUUCAACCUCCUUGCACUUAGAAAUGUUGGCACGCCAGCUAACUUCCGAGGAGUGUAGUAUGUUAUAUGUCACAGUACUGACUUUAUUUAAUUUCCAGCUCCUAUACCAUUUAGAAAGAAAGAAAAACAAGAAAAAGACAAAGAUGAUCUGGGUCCUGACAGAUUCUCAACACUCACAGGUUUGUAGACCCAUGGGCUUCCUGGCUCCUUCAUUCCCAGAGCACAUAUUUCAUAACACUUUUUCUUGGGUGCCAUAAGCGUUGCCUUUUUAGAAGAGUAUGUUUGUGUGUGUAUGGUUGGGAGUAUGUUCUUCAUGGCUCUGUGGUUUCCCCCUAGAGGCCACAGUGGGUCUCGGUGUGUUCUUCCUACAGCCCACUACCACCAUCACCAUCCUCAUUACCAUAACCUGUUUCUGACAAAGCCUGCCUGACAGCUCAGCACCCAGGGACCAUGCCACCUGACUGCUGGAGUGUGUGGGGCCGCCUCCAGUUCUCUGCGUGCCCUGUCUCUGGAUCACUGGUUGGACAGUUUUCUCAAACACUGAUCGUAGGACACUAAAUUUAUUUUCAUCUGUAGUUUGCUCUAGCUUAUUCAGGAUCACAAUGAAAUGCUAUUUUAUCUAAUCAUUUUAUUUUUUUAAUGACUAAAGUAUUUGUUCAACAGUAUUACAAAUGCCAACCAUUGUGGUAAAAGUUAAAGACUUUUUUUUACAGCUUGAACCAUUAUAGUUGCUGUCUGAUCCAUGGCAGAGCUUUAGGGGUCUUCCUUAUUCAACACCUGCAUUUCUGCAGCUUCUUGGGUACCUUAAAAGCAUCCGUGAGCUAGCAUGAAUGAUCAUAGUUGAAUCUGAUAGCGUGCAUUGAUUCUUAGAUGCUGUAGAUCAUCUAGAGGGGAGUUCACCUCUCAGUUCUUUUUUUCCUUAUCUUAAUUUUAAAGUGUGUUAUCUUCCCAUCCUACUAAGUUACAAUCAGCUAUGGUCUCAAAAGUGACCAGUACAGUACCAAUUCUGAUGCGUGUUCUAAUGUCUAUUUGUGCGUGUUAGGUGUUCCUCCAUAUUUCAGCUUCUAUAGCUCUUCCUUAUUAGAUACAGUAACUUUCACAGUAAUAAAGGGUAUGAACAGAAAGAGACAGGUUGAACAGGCCACAGUUCCCUGCUGAGAGCAGCCCAGCCUGUCCUAUUCAGUUAGCAAAUAUCUGUUGACCAUCUCAUGCCAGACAUCAUCAUAGAUACUGUGGAUAUUAAAUUAGAUUACAUAUGACCUGGGUUUGUUGGGACCUUGCAGUGUUUUGGGAAGAGUUGGAAAGAUACUGUCUUUUGGGCAAUGUCUUUGUGUAUUUUCCUGUGUUCUUCAUUCCUGCUGUUAGAAGUAUAUACAUGUCACAGAGGAUGCAGCCACCUUCUUUCAAUCCCAGCACUCAGGAGGCAGAGGCAGGAGUUCAAGGCCAGCUUGGUCUACAUAGUGAGUUCCAGGCCAGCCUUGGUGAGACCCCGUCUUAAAAAAGAACAGAGGAGAGUACUGUAGUCUCUAUAAGUAGAAUUACACUGGGUGGAGUAGCUUUGUAUGUAAAUUGUUUAAUGACUUUGAAGAAAUUGUAAGUAGUUUUGGUCAAUUUUGUUUGUUUGUUUGUUUGUUUGUUUUUUUCUCAUGCUGAGAUUGGAAGCUAAAUAAAGUUCCUGUCUAUCUGUUCCCCACCCCAUAAAAUAGUUCAUUUUCUUUGGGUUUGAUUGAAGAAGCUUAGCUUUCUUAUUGGAGAAAUUAUGCCCAAUCCUAACUAAUGAUCACUUGUAAGUUACCAUAAAAUCAGUUUGAAAUGUUUUUAUAUAUAUUCCUAAUUAGCCUGGCCAUAAUCUUGCCACUCUAGCCACUGGUUUGGUUUUUGUUUUUCUUUUUUUUACAAUCUCUCCUAAUCUUUCUCAGAGUUUGUAUAAUGGUGGCUUUUCUGUCACUGAAUCGGAGAUAUAUAUAUAUAUAUAUAUAUAUUAUAUAUAAAUACAAACAUUAUAUAUAUAUAUAAAAUGUUUGUAUUUACCGUUACCACACUUCAUACACUUUCCAGUUUCUACUGGAUACAGUUAGCUUUUGAAUAAUUUUCAUUGGCUGUAAAGUAAUCUGAUUCUACUACAUUGCAGCAUAACUCUUCUUUUCCUAUUGAAAUAUUUAAGUUAUUUCCUGUUGUUUUUUUCUGAAAGUACCUUUGUGCCCAUAGGUGGUGGUGGUGGUUGUUGUUGCUGCUGCUGCUGUUGCUGUUGUUGUGUUAACAGUGCUGGGGAUUGAGCCCAGGCUUAUACAGGCCAGUCAGGCACUCUCCACUAACUGUAACCCCAGCUCUGCACCACAGCUUUUACUUUCAUUAUUUUUCUAGGAUAACGUUUUUUUGAGAAGUAUUUUAUUAAAGUAAAAGGUAAUAAGCAACUUUGUAGUUUAAUUGACUGAGGUUAGCCAGUUUACAUUUGUCCCUCUCACAGUCCUUGUGGACUCUGAAUAGAUAACCAGCGGGGCUGGAGAGACGCUCAGCAGUUGCAGCACUUGUUGCCCUUACAGAGAACCUGGGUUCAGUUCUCAGCACCCUCAUGUUGGUUCAUAGCGACCUGUAACUUCAGGUCCAAAGGCUCUUCUGACCUCCUCAAGCACCAGGAACACACUCGGUACAUUUGCAUCCAUGAAACACUCAAAAUAUACUAAACAAACAAACAAACAAGAAUAUUUUAAAAGCUACAAUCCAAAAUAUUACACCUUAAAAGGAUUCUGCAGUGGUUGCAUUUAUAUUUUUGAAAAAGCCCACCAUUGAUUAUGAAUCUCUUUUCAUGACUAUACUGUUCUAGUAGACAUUUAAAUGUAUUUGGAAGUCAGAUGUGCUCACACCUAUAAUCCCAACUCACAAGUCUGAGGCAAGAGGUUUGCUACAAGUUCAAGGCCAGUGUAGGCCACAGAGAGACCUGUCCC